rnacentral:rRNA from 1 species
AGAGUUUGAUCCUGGCUCAGAAUCAACGCUGGCGGCGUGCCUAACACAUGCAAGUCGCACGAGAAAGGGGAGCAAUCCCUGAGUAUAGUGGCGCACGGGUGAGUAACACGUGACUAACCUACCCUCGAGUGGGGAAUAACCUAGGGAAACCUGGGCUAAUACCGCAUAACACUUACGAGUCAAAGCAGCAAUGCGCUUGGGGAGGGGGUCGCGGCCGAUUAGCUAGUUGGCGGGGUAAUGGCCCACCAAGGCAAUGAUCGGUAUCCGGCCUGAGAGGGCGCACGGACACACUGGAACUGGAACACGGUCCAGACUCCUACGGGAGGCAGCAGUGGGGAAUUUUGCGCAAUGGGGGAAACCCUGACGCAGCAACGCCGCGUGGAGGAUGAAGUCUCUUGGGACGUAAACUCCUUUCGAUCGGGAAGAUAAUGACGGUACCGAUAGAAGAAGCCCCGGCUAACUUCGUGCCAGCAGCCGCGGUAAUACGAGGGGGGCAAGCGUUGUUCGGAAUUAUUGGGCGUAAAGGGUGCGUAGGCGGUCUGGUAAGUCUUGUGUGAAAUCUUCAGGCUCAACCUGAAGUCUGCAUGAGAAACUGCCGGGCUUGAGCAUGGGAGAGGUGAGUGGAAUUUCCGGUGUAGCGGUGAGAUGCGUAGAUAUCGGAAGGAACACCUGUGGCGAAAGCGGCUCACUGGACCAUAACUGACG